GCUUUCAGCAGGGAAGAAGCCCUUUCGGGGUGACGGUACCUGCAGAAGAAGUACCGGGCUAACUACGUGCCAGCAGCCGCGGUAAUACGUAGGGUACAAGCGUUGUCCGGAAUUAUUGGGCGUAAAGAGCUCGUAGGUGGUUGGUCACGUCUGCUGUGGAAACGCAACGCUUAACGUUGCGCGUGCAGUGGGUACGGGCUGACUAGAGUGCAGUAGGGGAGUCUGGAAUUCCUGGUGUAGCGGUGAAAUGCGCAGAUAUCAGGAGGAACACCGGUGGCGAAGGCGGGACUCUGGGCUGUAACUGACACUGAGGAGCGAAAGCAUGGGGAGCGAACAGGAUUAGAUACCCUGGUAGUCCAUGCCGUAAACGUUGGGCACUAGGUGUGGGGGACAUUCCACGUUCUCCGCGCCGUAGCUAACGCAUUAAGUGCCCCGCCUGGGGAGUACGGUCGCAAGGCUAAAACUCAAAGGAAUUGACGGGGGCCCGCACAAGCGGCGGAGCAUGCGGAUUAAUUCGAUGCAACGCGAAGAACCUUACCAAGGCUUGACAUACACCAGACCGGUCUGGAAACAGUCCUUCCCCUUUGGGGUUGGUGUACAGGUGGUGCAUGGUUGUCGUCAGCUCGUGUCGUGAGAUGUUGGGUUAAGUCCCGCAACGAGCGCAACCCUCGUUCUAUGUUGCCAGCACGUAAUGGUGGGAACUCAUAGGAGACUGCCGGGGUCAACUCGGAGGAAGGUGGGGAUGACGUCAAAUCAUCAUGCCCUUUAUGUCUUGGGCUUCACGCAUGCUACAAUGGCUGGUACAGAGAGAUGCGAGACCGCGAGGUUUUAGCGAAUCCCUUAAAGCCAGUCUCAGUUCGGAUCGUAGUCUGCAAUUCGACUACGU
rnacentral:rRNA from 1 species